GGGCUCUGCCCCAAAUCCAGCCCUCCUGACGUCCUGGGGGAGGGCGCAGGUUGAGGAUGGCCCGUGGGAAGGUUAGGAGGGUUGCGCGUUCAGUGGGAACGGCAAGACCGGAACAGAACAGUUGGGGAACAUGGGCCAUGAGGUGUGUCCUUGAGCAGUCGGGUUGAGUUCAGUUCCUGGUGACUUCAGGGUGCUGCGUUUUUCUGGAAUUGUCUGCAACUUCCCAAGCUGGUCUAAACACCAGGAUCUUCUUAUUCAACUGCUGUAAUCAGGUCUGAACUUGCUCAGCUUCUGAUUCCAGACGAUAUAUCCAGCCAAGAAAAGAAACUGACGGAUCAUUGAACAAAUCAA